rnacentral:tRNA from 1 species
GGCGGCGUAGCUCAACGGUUAGAGCACGCGGCUCAUAUCCGCGGAGUUGUAGGUUCGAUUCCUACCGCCGCCACCA